CUAAACAGUUACUCGCUGCAUCCUCUUUAAUCCUGAUUUUUACGCCGACAGAAAGAUGUAGGCUUAUUCUAGGCCGCGAGUUCAGUCACGUCACGCUCCGCUUUGGCUUUUUGAUGCUACUUUUCGAUCAGAAGAGUUGGGUGCGGUAUCCUUCAAAGAAAUAACUUCCCACAUUACUUCUAAAGAAAGAAAAAAGAAAUAGUGGCGCUAAAUGAAAAGCCUGGGCUCACAGCUUGCAGCCGCAGCUGCCGGCAUUGUUGCCCGCCAGGCUCGCCUGGCCGAAGAACAGACGAGAGAGAACGCGAGGCGGCCGAGCGGGUCCGCGCGGCAGAUCUCUCCAUCCAAGCAUCCUGGAUGAAUAAGCUGCAGGCGGCUUGAUGGUCCGCCUCGCUUUAAUGAAGAUCACACAUUGUCUGAGAGCCACCCCGGGCUAUUGAUCCUCAACCAAACCCCCUGUGUGUUAAAAUGUCAAGCAGAAUAGUGGCCCUGAUGCUAAUGAUUGCCAUUUAUCGAAGGAGUACCUCAGGGAGCCGUUCUAGAGCCACCCACAAGUAAUUUAAGGAAAGUUGCCGCUUGACGCUAGCCAGAAGGAAGCUGGCGAGAGAAAGGGUAGCGAUGCGCUAACGGAUUAGCUGCCAUCCAGCGGCCAUCCUGCGGCGAGACGGCCUUGGAAGACUGCGAGCGCAUUCCUUCAGCCUCCAUCUCACCUUGCAGGCCUUUGCGGACUCAUUACGGCGAUGCCAGAUUAAUGCCGGUACGCAGGCGAGCGGCGCACUAAACGGAGUCUAUCUGCGGGGGCUUUUUGCCCCUUCCAAUGUGUCCGCGCAAUCUCCCGUGCAGGGGAAGAGGCUAUUAGGCGACGGACGGGCGGGCGGGCUCUUCGAGAAAAGGAUGGAGCGAAUCAAAGCCGGGGAAAUUGAACACAGGUAGACAAAUACGCUCACACUAGAGCCAAAUAGAGGAGCUUUGAAGAUCACCAUCUGUAUUUUUUUUUCUUCCUUUUUUUAACAAGCCAGCAUGUGAGGCUUCACAUCUUAUUAAGGAGCAAAGUGAAGCGUUAAAAUGCAUUCCAAUGGGUCUUUUCCACA